rnacentral:lncRNA from 1 species
GAAAACACUGUGGCCGACUACGAUCGAUUCUUGUUAUCCCGAGUAGUUAAGUUUUAUGAAGUCACCGUGAACACUGCAUUACGAAUUCUGAACCACUCAUCCUGGGAGAAGCACACAGCUGGUGGAAACAGUUCAGUCCAGAUGCACCCUGCGCAGCUCUGCACCAAAAGAAUGGAAUGUUCCAGAGCCCCAGGUGGUCUGGGGCCCGGUGGUGAGGCUCCAGGAGGAGAGCUCCUAAGCCCUUCUACCUGCAGGGAACUGGGAAAAUGUCACAAAUCAGCUUUCCUUCCUUUUACCCUCUACAGCUCUGGGAGGUGAGAGGAGGGCAGAAACCUCCCCAGUUCAUGCGUCUCUCCCCAGCACAGAGUUAGGCUCCCUGAAGGAUUUGUUGAAUGAAUGCCGAAGAAAACAGAAACCCAGAUUAAUCAAACAGCUUACUUAAAGCCAAAAUCGAGAGAGUGAAUAAGAUAACCGUUGAGGGAAGCCAGAUGGGUGUGAAGGAUUAUGAUAACAACCCAACGCCAGGGGGCGGAGGAGUCAAAUGGUGACCAGGGUGAGCAGAGAGGCUGCAGAGACAGGUACUGCGUUAAAAACAGGAGAUCAAGCAAACGUGAGGAGUCUUGAGCCAGACACUCACUAGGCAGCUGACAGUUUAGCUCGUUUCCAUUUCCUCUUCCUCCUUUAGGACCAGCUCGCUACUCCUUUCCACGGAAUCUGAGGAGCUGAGAUUCCUGGCCAUGGAGAGUUGUCACUUCCUGGGCUCACUCAGAGGUGAGGUGACGUUCCAUGCUCACUGUCAGUUUUGAAACAAGCAGUGUCACUGUGCUGCGGGUGUGACUUGGCCCGUCACAGCCCUCCUGCGUUAGGAAACAUGGUUUCUGAGCCAUCACUGUCGGGCUGCCUGAUGGCGAGGUGCCCAUCUGAGCGUGUCCCCUGUUGACAGCGCUUGACAAGCGUCGUGCCGGUCUUGCUUUUAGAUGCUGCACAGCAGGAGCUCUGGUCUGCAUAACGCGGCACGAUGAAGCGGAAAGAGUAUGGACAAGGGGGCAGAAAGCUGGGCUCUGCCACCCGCCAGCUAGGGGACCUUGAGCAAGUCGGCUUGCCCUUGCCAGUACGUAAACCAUCUCGUUGGGACAGUGCAACAAGAUGGUGCCUGGGA